CCUACGGGUGGCAGCAGUGGGGAAUAUUGGACAAUGGGCGAAAGCCUGAUCCAGCCAUGCCGCGUGUGUGAAGAAGGCCUUCGGGUUGUAAAGCACUUUCAGUGGGGAAGAAAGCCUUGGGGCUAAUACCCUCGAGGAAGGACAUCACCCACAGAAGAAGCACCGGCUAACUCCGUGCCAGCAGCCGCGGUAAUACGGAGGGUGCGAGCGUUAAUCGGAAUUACUGGGCGUAAAGCGCGCGUAGGCGGUCUGAUAAGCCGGUUGUGAAAGCCCCGGGCUCAACCUGGGAACGGCAUCCGGAACUGUCAGGCUAGAGUGCAGGAGAGGAAGGUAGAAUUCCCGGUGUAGCGGUGAAAUGCGUAGAGAUCGGGAGGAAUACCAGUGGCGAAGGUGGCCUUCUGGACUGACACUGACGCUGAGGUGCGAAAGCGUGGGUAGCAAACAGGAUUAGAUACCCUUGUAGUC
rnacentral:rRNA from 1 species